UCCGGCCGGCGCAGGAAUGUGAGCAGGGUGUUCACUGCGCGCUCUGAGCGCACAAGUUUGUUCUCCUCUCCUUGGAGAACGCCGGCCCGCUCUGUGCCACCCUCUCCCCAAGCCCCCGGGAGGAGGCCUCGCCACCAUGCCCAGAGCAGCACAGUGAGUCAGAGAUGAAGCUCUUGUCCCACCUGCCCCAACCCUCGAGCCCUGCUUCCCAGGUCCGCAUUCCCAGGCAGCCUGCCACAGCCAGUGCCAGCGAGAGAGUGGAUCAGGCUUCAGGAUAGCCCAGCACUGAGGACAUCUAAAACAGUCUUCAUUUAUUUAUUUAUUGUUCAUAGUGUCCAAAAGUUGGAAUUAAAGUGAAUGGCUGAA
rnacentral:lncRNA from 1 species